rnacentral:rRNA from 1 species
ACUCCUACGGGAGGCAGCAGUGGGGAAUCUUGCGCAAUGCGCGAAAGCGUGACGCAGCAACGCCGCGUGGGGGAAGACGGCCUUCGGGUUGUAAACCCCUUUCAGGAGGGACGAAGGUCGGGCGGUGAAUAGCCGUUCCGACUGACGGUACCUCCACAAGAAGCCCCGGCUAACUACGUGCCAGCAGCCGCGGUAAUACGUAGGGGCUAGCGUUGUCCGGAAUCAUUGGGCGUAAAGAGCGUGUAGGCGGUCCGGUAAGUCCGUUGUGAAAGUCAGGGGCUCAACCCUUGAAUGCCGGCGGAUACUGUCGGGCUAGAGUCCGGAAGAGGCGAGUGGAAUUCCCGGUGUAGCGGUGAAAUGCGCAGAUAUCGGGAGGAACACCUAUGGCGAAGGCAGCUCGCUGGGACGGCACUGACGCUGAGACGCGAAAGCGUGGGGAGCAAACAGGAUUAGAUACCCUGGUAGCUACGAGU